rnacentral:rRNA from 1 species
AAUGAACGUUGGCGGCGUGGAUUAGGCAUGCAAGUCGUACGGGCCAGCAAUGGUCAGUGGCGAAAGGGAGAGGAAUACGCAGGUAUCUACCUCCGGGUCGGGGAUAGCCACGGGAAACUGUGGGUAAUACCCGAUAACGUCUCCGGACCAAAGGUGUGAUUCCACCUGCAGAGGAGCCUGCGUCCUAUUAGCUUGUUGGCGGGGUAACGGCCCACCAAGGCUACGAUGGGUACGGGGUGUGAGAGCAUGCCCCCGCUCACUGGGACUGAGACACUGCCCAGACACCUACGGGUGGCUGCAGUCGAGAAUCUUCCGCAAUGGGCGCAAGCCUGACGGAGCGACGCCGCGUGUGGGAUGAAGGCCUUCGGGUUGUAAACCACUGUCGUAGGGGAGGAAGGACCGGUGCAGAGCCGGUUUUGACCUAUCCUAGGAGGAAGGGUGGGCUAAGUUCGUGCCAGCCGCCGCAGUAACAC